GAUGAACGCUGGCGGCGUGCUUAACACAUGCAAGUCGAACGAAGCACUGAAAGCAGAUUACUUCGGUUUGAAGCUUUCUUUGACUGAGUGGCGGACGGGUGAGUAACGCGUGGGUAACCUGCCUCAUACAGGGGGAUAACAGUUAGAAAUGACUGCUAAUACCGCAUAAGCGCACGGGACUGCAUGGUCUUGUGUGAAAAACUCCAGUGGUAUGAGAUGGACCCGCGUCUGAUUAGCUGGUUGGUGAGGUAACGGCCCACCAAGGCGACGAUCAGUAGCCGGCCUGAGAGGGUGAACGGCCACAUUGGGACUGAGACACGGCCCAA
rnacentral:rRNA from 1 species